rnacentral:tRNA from 1 species
GGUUGUAGCUCAGUGGUAUAGUGCCUGCCUCACAUGUAUGAGACACUGGGUUCAAUCCUCAACACCA